CGAGGUGGGCUGGGGAGGGUCUGGGCUGAGUGCUGAGUGAUGCAGAAUGCUGGGGUGGACGGAGGCAGGACCCUUAGAUUUUGGGGAUGAAAUAAAAAGCUGGGCAGAGGGAAGGUGGGAUUUAGAUUUGACAUCAGUCUGUCACGUGGGGAAGACCAUUUGGAAGGAGGCCUGGGCCCUGGAAGCUGAGCUGGCAUGCUGACUGUGUCUCCCCCCAGCUAAGCCAGCACAUGAAACUGAAGCUGCAGUUCACCGCCAGCGUGUCCCACCCUCCACCCGAGGCCCGGCCCCUCUCCCGCAAGAGCAGCCCCAGCAGCCCUGCUGUCCGGGACUUGGUGGAGAGGCAUCAGGCUAGCCUGGGCCGCUCCCAGUCCUUCUCCCACCAGCAGCCUUCCCGAAGCCACCUCAUGAGGUCGGGCAGUGUGAUGGAGCGCAGAGCCAUCACGCCCCCUGUGGCCUCUCCUGUUGGCCGCCCCCUCUACCUGCCCCCGGACAAGGCUGUGUUGUCUCUGGACAAGAUUGCCAAGCGCGAGUGCAAGGUCCUGGUGGUGGAACCCGUCAAGUAGCACCGUGCCAGCUCUGUUCCCUCUUACACUCCAGAGACCCAACGCCCCCAGAGGGGAUCCCUGCUCCCAGGCUGUGCCUCCCCUGGGAUGCCUCCCAGACGGGGGUGAAGAGGCCUGGCAGAGCUGCCUGUCUGUGUCUGCUGAUGAGGGAUGGGGGAAGAAGCUGUGAAGUGGGCGGGCAUGGCUGGGACUAAGCCACCAGUAUUCCCCAAGUUCCUGUGGCGGGGGCUGGCCCCACCCCUAGGGUAAGGGUUCCCAGAGCUCCCUUGUCCCCGGCCCUUUACCCUGGUUCUGAGUUUACAAAGUCUCUUCCUCAUUCCCGUUGAGUUCUUUCCCACCUCUGACAUUCCCUCCCUCCCUCCCGCAGGGCUGAGAUUAGAGGGUGGUGAUGGCUAAGAGCCCCUGACAGUGACCUUCCUGUCUCAGGGGUUGGGGACAGGGCCAGGUAGCCUCCUGCCCCUUAUGUUUACCUUUGCAGCCUGAAGCACUUUAAUUUUUUUUUUUUUUUUGGUCUGUUCCUGUAACUUAUUUUC
rnacentral:sRNA from 1 species